rnacentral:rRNA from 1 species
AACGUACGCUGGCGGCACGCCUAACACAUGCAAGUCGAACGAAGUAGCAAUACUUAGUGGCAGACGGGUGAGUAACAUGUGGGUAUCUACCCUUUGGCCUGGAAUAACACGAGGAAACUUGUGCUAAUACCGGAUAAGUCUUUACGGAGAAAGCUUUAUGCACCAUUGGAUGAGCCCGCACUUGAUUAGUUUGUUGGUAGGGUAAUGGCCUACCAAGACUAUGAUCAAUAGCUGAUUUGAGAGGAUGAUCAGCCACAUUGGGACUGAGACACGGCCCAA